rnacentral:rRNA from 1 species
CUAAUACAUGCAAGUCGAACGAACUUCCGUUAAUUGAUUAUGACGUACUUGUACUGAUUGAGAUUUUAACACGAAGUGAGUGGCGAACGGGUGAGUAACACGUGGGUAACCUGCCCAGAAGUAGGGGAUAACACCUGGAAACAGAUGCUAAUACCGUAUAACAGAGAAAACCGCAUGGUUUUCUUUUAAAAGAUGGCUCUGCUAUCACUUCUGGAUGGACCCGCGGCGUAUUAGCUAGUUGGUGAGGUAAAGGCUCACCAAGGCAGUGAUACGUAGCCGACCUGAGAGGGUAAUCGGCCACAUUGGGACUGAGACACGGCCCAGACUCCUACGGGAGGCAGCAGUAGGGAAUCUUCCACAAUGGACGCAAGUCUGAUGGAGCAACGCCGCGUGAGUGAAGAAGGGUUUCGGCUCGUAAAGCUCUGUUGUUAAAGAAGAACGUGGGUAAGAGUAACUGUUUACCCAGUGACGGUAUUUAACCAGAAAGCCACGGCUAACUACGUGCCAGCAGCCGCGGUAAUACGUAGGUGGCAAGCGUUAUCCGGAUUUAUUGGGCGUAAAGCGAGCGCAGGCGGUCUUUUAAGUCUAAUGUGAAAGCCUUCGGCUCAACCGAAGAAGUGCAUUGGAAACUGGGAGACUUGAGUGCAGAAGAGGACAGUGGAACUCCAUGUGUAGCGGUGAAAUGCGUAGAUAUAUGGAAGAACACCAGUGGCGAAGGCGGCUGUCUGGUCUGCAACUGACGCUGAGGCUCGAAAGCAUGGGUAGCGAACAGGAUUAGAUACCCUGGUAGUCCAUGCCGUAAACGAUGAUUACUAAGUGUUGGAGGGUUUCCGCCCCUUCAGUGCUGCAGCUAACGCAUUAA